rnacentral:rRNA from 1 species
GACGAACGCUGGCGGCGUGCUUAACACAUGCAAGUCGAACGGAAAGGCCUGCUUUCCCUUGUGGAUUGCGGGUACUCGAGUGGCGAACGGGUGAGUAACACGUGAGUGAUCUGCCCCCAACUUGGGUAUAAGCAUGGGAAACUGGGUCUAAUUCCAGAUAGAACUGCAGGGUGGAGCAUGUGGUGGAAAACGAUCUUCUAGUGGUUGGGGAUGAGCUCGCGGCCUAUCAGCUUGUUGGUGGGGUAAUGGCCUACCAAGGCGGGGACCAGGAGCCGGCCUGGGGGGGGGGACGGUGACAUUGGGACUGGGUUCAGACCCAGACGCCUACGGGAGGCAGCAGAGGGGACUAAUGGACAAUAGGCGGAAGCCUGAUGCAGCGACUGCGCGAGGAAGAUGUCGGGCUUCGAGUAGUAAACUCCUUGCGACCGCGAGGAAGCCACGUGGCUAGAAGGGUGGUGACGGUAGUUGAAGAAGAAGCAACGGCUAACUACGUG